CCAGUGGUUCCAGUCGGCGAUGUGCACGUAGGAGAUGACGUGGGCGAUGCGGGGCAGCAGCAGGUGCACGUCCCUCCAGUUGACUGCCCAGUCCUCACCCCCUGACCACACUGCAGUGGGCACGGGCAUCUUCUCCAGCUGGGAACCUACCUGGGCCCAGUGUAUCAUGUUUUUGACAGAAGUCCUGUCAGGAUAGUGGGCUGUGUAUACAUCCAGCCGGGUCUGCAGGGAAAAACAUUCAAAAUAUCAUUCCUUGCAAAUAGUUAGGAACUAAGACAACAGUUGCCAGACAAUGCAUUUUCCAAAACAGCCACUGCUGAGUUGUGCUGCCUAUAGACUUGGGUCAGGUUCAGAAAUAUAAUUUCCAUUAAAUAUCAAUUGCUCUGCA